UUAGCGUAUUCCGAAAAGCUAAAAGAGUAGGGA
rnacentral:ncRNA from 1 species